rnacentral:lncRNA from 1 species
AUGAAAACCAAAGUGCCUGUCAGGCAGGGGGCAAGGACAGAAGAGAAACGCCCCCGCUCCCAGGGCCGGGUGAGAGACUGUGGGGACCAGCUCAGGGACCCCCACCCAGAGGGGCCGCCACUUCCACGGGGAAUGCUGGUCGGAGUGGGCUCUGGACCUUCCCGCGUGAGGAGACGACAGGAGCCCAGGCCUUACGUGGCCUCUCUGCCUCCAAACCCGGGCCGCCGGCUCCCUGCACAGGCUGGGGCGGCGUGGGGCGGGCGGAAGAGCCCGAUCCCUCUGCGGCCGGCCUGCUUGAUUCGGGCCCAGCGGACCCUGACCCUGGCCCUGGAGGCCGCUGCGGCCCCCACCCAGCUCCUCAGCAGCCACAUGGCUGCCGGCCCUCACACCCCAGGGCGGCGCACAGGGCCUGGGCCUGACGACGUCCUUAGGGUCCCUGAGCAGCCGGGUCCUCACGGCCCUCGGCGACCCGGGGUCCCCGGGAUGGAGCGAGGCUCUGGGCCUUCAGCAGACGCCGGGGCCCCAGACAGCCCUGACCCGAGCUCCAGAGACAUCCGAGCCCAGGCUCCGAGAGAACCACCCCCGGCCGGGUGCGUCCGAGUCAGUGCUCCCCCGAAGGCGGGGACGUCGGGCGAGAAGCAACUGCAAGGACUCGCGGGAAGAAGCCACCGGGAAUCAUGGCGGCCGCGCUCGGAGGGACGGCUUUGCACGAGACCAUGGGCUGGAAGACCCAGGAGUGGAUGCUUUUGCCCCAACGAUGGCUGUCACCCAGAAUCCCAUGGGGCCGCCACCCUCCAGCAGCUGAGAGGGACCUGGUGGAGAAUCAUAACCUUCCCUACCAUCCAGCACCUAAGAGGUGGCUCUGCUGGUGGGAGAAUCACAACUUUCCGCCUGCUCCCGACACAGGUGGCUAAUGCGGAAUCCUGGUCAACAAAGUCUGCAGCCCUGCAGCCUGCUGCGAUGUUUGCUGAGCAGCAGACACAGGUGAAGAGUUGCUCUGAUAACGCCCUGAUCUGCUGCAGCUGUAGGUGAAGGAGCAGCUUAGGAUAGAAAUCAAGAUAAGAGCAACAAACCCAGGCUCCCGCGAGAAGCCAGUGGGUGUCCAACUUGAGGGCGGAGGAAGGCCCCGCACUGCCUGGACAAGGACUGACUGCGGCAAAUUCACUCCGGGGCUGGGCGUCCACGUCCAGCCAGAACACGAUCUUGCCGGGGUGCGCCGCUCACCCAGGCCCCGCCGUCCGCGCCGUGAGGGUGCUCAGCUCUGCGUGGCUUGACUGUGGGCCCUCAGGUGUCCUUGUCCAGGGCUCAGCCUCCCCAUCCUCUGCAGCGGGGACAUUCUAAGUGAGUGUCUUGUUUAAAAAACAAAGGUGGUAAAAACUGGAGUGUGAGAGGUUAACAAGUUGGCUCCUGCUUUACUACGGGGGGUCCCUGGCAGCUCCUCUGUUGAAGGACGCAUGGGGCAUCUGUGCCGCUCUCGUAGGGACGUUUCCAGGGCCUUGUGUGACUGUGUUCACGUCUGCCCCUCUCACCUCUGAGCUCCUCCCCACCGCGCUUGUGAGUGGAGCAGCCCAGGAGACUGUAUGUGGGGUUUUCCAACCACAAAGCGUGGGGGCUUUGGAGUCUGACGUGCUCCUCGGCGUGGCCACAUGUGCCUCUUUCUCCACUCCUGGCCAUCAGCUGCCCUCAAGAAGUCAGCCACCCCUGCAGACGGACAAUGAGUACGCAAAGCCAGGGAGGAAGGGCUUUGUCGGGGGAGCUUGGCGUAGGCGUCCACUUCGUCAGGGCCUCAGCUCUUGCCUGGUGAUUCCUGUGGGCUGAUGUACCCAUCACGGGGCACAGAGUGGGACGCCUGCCAUGCCGUCCUCCCUGCAAACCACAGCCAACGUCCAGGCCCCGCCUUUCACUCGAAGCUCAGUCCUUGUUCUGCCCGGGGGAUCUGGUGCAUCCUGCUGUGUCCAAGGCCCUUGCUAUGGUCCCUGGAGUGGUCUCAGGGGCUGUGCCACACCGCAGGGGCCUCGGAUGGCCCCCAUGUCUCACUGAGCAGACAACCAAUUUUCAGUAUGCAGGUGACAAGCAAGAAGCGGCGUCACCCCUAAACCUUGAGUUUCUUUGCCAAGCAGGAAGCGGUGUCACCCCUAAACCUUGAAGUUCUCCAGUCCUGGGCGUCCCCACUGCCUCCUUCCGGGUCACGUGUUCACAGAGCUAGGGGAAGACCCAGAGACUCCAAUGUAUCCUCCAGGACCUGCAGAUGGGCAGAGGCAGAGGCAAGUCCAGCACCCGUGCGGUGCAGUGGAGACCCAGAGAUCAGGCCAGGUGCCUGCAUCUGUGCCGGCUAUGCCACCGCAGCAGCGCUGUCCCCAGACACCUGGAACCGUCUGCGUGCACAGGCUCGUGGCUGCCCUGGCGGAGGUGCCCCAUGCACCCCCUCAUCUGAUGUCAGGUACACUCCUGCCCCAGGCCAGUGCUGUUGCAAAGCUGGAGUUUGUGUUCAGGCUGAUUAUCUUGAACUUAGGCUAAUCUUCCA